UAGAGAGAUAAUUAGCUGGAAAAGCCGAAUCUCGUGCUUCGGGCAUGGUGAUAAAUACCAUGGGGUGGAUAGAGGGAGUAGGCUAUGAUUUGCUAUUGCAUGCAAUUCGUACACUUAAGGCCAAUGUUGUCUUAGUUUUGGGUUAGG